UGUAUUCCUUAUCUGUUAUCUGUUUCUAAUGGUUAUAGGAGCCUAUCUUCCCGUGAUACCACGGGGAUAUGACGGGAAGAUAGGCCCUGCUGUUAUUACCGCUACCCCUGAAUAU
rfam:Proteus mirabilis strain HI4320, complete genome